rnacentral:lncRNA from 1 species
GUUCAUUGGUAACUAUGACGUUUUCGUGAAUAGGGCUGGAUACUGAAAACCACAACCCUUUAAAUAAGGCCUGUGAAAUUUAGUGGCUGAAGUGAAGCAUAUUGAUCGUUCUUUCUGUCGUCGAUGGCUUCACCAUUUAGGUUCAGUUUGUUGUAAAACAAAUUAUUUUAACAUCAAUGACUGUGUCAAACCAUUCCAGAA